rnacentral:rRNA from 1 species
UACGGGAGGCAGCAGUGGGGAAUAUUGCACAAUGGACGAAAGUCUGAUGCAGCAACGCCGCGUGGAGGAUGACACAUUUCGGUGCGUAAACUCCUUUUAUAUGGGAAGAUAAUGACGGUACCAUAUGAAUAAGCACCGGCUAACUCCGUGCCAGCAGCCGCGGUAA